UACGUAGGGGGCUAGCGUUGUCCGGAAUCAUUGGGCGUAAAGCGCGUGUAGGCGGCCCGGUAAGUCCGCUGUGAAAGUCGGGGGCUCAACCCUCGGAUGCCGGUGGAUACUGUCGGGCUCGAGUACGGAAGAGGCGAGUGGAAUUCCUGGUGUAGCGGUGAAAUGCGCAGAUAUCAGGAGGAACGCCGAUUGCGAAGGCAGCUCGCUGGGACGUUACUGACGCUGAGACGCGAAAGCGUGGGGAGCAAACAGG
rnacentral:rRNA from 1 species